rnacentral:rRNA from 1 species
UACGAAGGGGGCUAGCGUUGUUCGGAAUUACUGGGCGUAAAGCGCACGUAGGCGGACAUUUAAGUCAGGGGUGAAAUCCCGGAGCUCAACUCCGGAACUGCCUUUGAUACUGGGUGUCUUGAGUGUGGAAGAGGUGAGUGGAAUUCGAGUGUAGAGGUGAAAAUUCGUAGAUAUUCGGAAGGAACACCAGUGGCGAAGGCGGCUCACUGGCCCGGUACUGACGCUGAGGCACGAAAGCGUGGGGAGCGAACAGG